CCUACGGGUGGCAGCAGUGAGGAAUAUUGGUCAAUGGGCGCGAGCCUGAACCAGCCAAGCCGCGUGAGGGAAGACGGUCCUAUGGAUUGUAAACCUCUUUUGUCGGGGAGCAAAAGACGCCACGCGUGGCGUUCCGAGCGUACCCGUAGAAAAAGCAUCGGCUAACUCCGUGCCAGCAGCCGCGGUAAUACGGAGGAUGCGAGCGUUAUCCGGAUUUAUUGGGUUUAAAGGGUGCGCAGGCGGAAGAUCAAGUCAGCGGGAAAAUUGAGAGGCUCAACCUCUUCGAGCCGUUGAAACUGGUGGUCUUGAGUGAGCGAGAAGUAUGCGGAAUGCGUGGUGUAGCGGUGAAAUGCAUAGAUAUCACGCAGAACUCCGAUUGCGAAGGCAGCAUACCGGCGCUCAACUGACGCUGAGGCACGAAAGUGUGGGUAUCGAACAGGAUUAGAUACCCGAGUAGUC
rnacentral:rRNA from 1 species